rnacentral:rRNA from 1 species
AACGAACGCUGGCGGCAGGCUUAACACAUGCAAGUCGAGCGCCCCGCAAGGGGAGCGGCAGACGGGUGAGUAACGCGUGGGAAUCUACCCAGUUCUACGGAAUAACCCAGGGAAACUUGGACUAAUACCGUAUACGCCCUACGGGGGAAAGAUUUAUCGGAAUUGGAUGAGCCCGCGUUGGAUUAGCUAGUUGGUGGGGUAAUGGCCUACCAAGGCGGCGAUCCAUAGCUGGUCUGAGAGGAUGAUCAGCCACACUGGGACUGAGACACGGCCCAGACUCCUACGGGAGGCAGCAGUGGGGAAUAUUGGACAAUGGGCGAAAGCCCGAUCCAGCCAUGCCGCGUGAGUGAUGAAGGCCUUAGGGUUGUAAAGCUCUUUCAGUGGGGAAGAUAAUGACGGUACCCACAGAAGAAGCCCCGGCUAACUUCGUGCCAGCCGCCGCCGUAAUAC